rnacentral:rRNA from 1 species
CCUACGGGAGGCAGCAGUGGGGAAUAUUGGACAAUGGGCGAAAGCCUGAUCCAGCCAUGCCGCGUGUGUGAAGAAGGCCUUCGGGUUGUAAAGCACUUUCAGUGGGGAAGAAAGCCUUGGGGCUAAUACCCUCGAGGAAGGACAUCACCCACAGAAGAAGCACCGGCUAACUCCGUGCCAGCAGCCGCGGUAAUACGGAGGGUGCGAGCGUUAAUCGGAAUUACUGGGCGUAAAGCGCGCGUAGGCGGUCUGAUAAGCCGGUUGUGAAAGCCCCGGGCUCAACCUGGGAACGGCAUCCGGAACUGUCAGGCUAGAGUGCAGGAGAGGAAGGUAGAAUUCCCGGUGUAGCGGUGAAAUGCGUAGAGAGCGGGAGGAAUACCAGUGGCGAAGGCGGCCUUCUGGACUGACACUGACGCUGAGGUGCGAAAGCGUGGGUAGCAAACAGGAUUAGAUACCCGAGUAGUC